rnacentral:rRNA from 1 species
UACGUAGGGGGCAAGCGUUGUCCGGAAUUAUUGGGCGUAAAGAGCGUGUAGGCGGUCCGGUAAGUCGGUUGUGAAAGUCCAGGGCUCAACCCUGGGAUGCCGAUCGAUACUGCCGGACUAGAGUCCGGAAGAGGCGAGUGGAAUUCCCGGUGUAGCGGUGAAAUGCGCAGAUAUCAGGAGGAACACCUAUUGCGAAGGCAGCUCGCUGGGACGUUACUGACGCUGAGACGCGAAAGCGUGGGGAGCAAACAGG